rnacentral:lncRNA from 1 species
UACUGAAAGCAUCUUAAAGAUAGCUAAUAAAUGAAUAUGUAUUUUUAUUUGAUUGAAGGAUCAACAUAGUCAUAUGGCAAAUAUUACCUUAUGAAUCUAUAAGUUAAAUGCAAACUUUAUCAUAAUCCCCAUAUAAAUUUUUGUAAAAAUUGACAAAUCAAUUCUAAAAUUUAUGUGGAAAUCCAAAAGCCAUAAAAUGGCCAAAACAAUUUCCAAAAACAGCAUUGGCUGAAUUUAAUAAAACCAGAGUAAUCAAGACAGUAUGGUAUUGGUACAGGAGUAGGAAUAUAGAUCAAAGAAAGAGACUUGAAAUUCCAGAUAUAUUUCUGGUCAAUUGAUUUUGUUACUCUAGAUUUAUUAAAAACUAAAAAUUUUGUGUCUUCUGCAUCUGUCUCUGCAGGGUUAGACUUAAGUAAAUGAUAACCGAAGUAAAAACUAGGCAUCAGCUUGUGUUAGAGCCAGGUACAUUGGGCCUGGGGUGAGACAGAAGGAAUUAGAAAUAGGUAGAAAGGAAACAUAAAGGAAAGACAGGAAAUAAAAUUUUAAAGAUCCACCUGCUUUUCCAGGUCCAUCAGUCCCUAAACCAGUCUCUUUCCCAAGCCUGUUUCUCCCAAAUUCCUGUGAAAUCUGAGCAUUGUUAUUGACCCCCACCCCCACCUCAAAAAAUAGAUUCAGUAAAUAAAGAUACAGUAUUUUGAGAAAUCUAUAAUUUAGGGGACUUUCCAGUGCUAUUUACUAAUAAUGAAGAACAUAUCAGCCUAGGGAUUCUGCAUUUGACCUCCUCAAAUCAUCUUGAGAUCACCAGACUGAUAUCAUUCUGACAUUUCCCAUACUUACUGCUCACCAGAUUUCCUUAGAAGAGCUGGAAAUUCCCAAAAUAUGUCCCUCACUCUCAAGAUGGCCUGCAUUCUCCCUGAAUAUAUUCCUUUCUUUAUAAUCAGAGACGCUUCUCUCUGGAGAUUGCUCCCAUUCUUCCUUGAACGUGUACCUACUUUCUCAAACAAAUCUGUGUAUGCCUCUGACUGGUGAGUGCUAAAAUUAUUUUCUGUCUUUUAAGCAAAGGACCACACUGGUCAUGAGUCAAGUUCCCAACUUCUUAGACCCUCCUCCAGAGACAAUUCUUCUCCCAUAACAGGCCCUCUUUUUAAAAAGAGAAUUCAAACUUAGCUAUGAAAGUGAGUAUUUAGAAUGAGGCAACACAUUACAAAAACCAUGCAGACGAAUAGCACAAACAUCACAAAUUCCACAAAAAUAGCAGUAUUAGCUGUCUCCUACUUUUAUAACAACUUUUUUCCCUAUGUUUUUGGGCUAUGUAUGCUUCAUACACCUUUAAGCAUGAUUGAUAGACUUGGAAAGUUCAGAAAACUUUCCUGGAGUUUCACCAUUCAUUAUUAGUCCUGCUGCAUCUGAGUUUCCUGCUUAUGCAAGAAUUCAAAAGUCAUGAGAAAACUUCAGCUCCCUGGUAUCACUGGUUUGGGUUAUAAUGGCUGCCUCCGCAGCAGAUGGAUCACUUUUGUUAAACAUUUGCCACCUCCUGUUAACCACUGGGUAGUACCUGAGAAGAGUGUGUGAAGAACAGAAAUUUUUUCUUGAAUCCUGGGUCACAAUGACUCAAAAGAAAGAAGACAUUUCCUUGGUCCUUUCCCUAGGGUCAAAGAAUGGAUCCUGAAACAGGUCAUGACUAGAGGCUCCAGCUGAUGGUGUUGCUGCUGAGAGGCUGCACAUCCCACUAUAGCCCCAGUACCAUCCCCAGAAUAGAGAGUGAUUCCCAAGACUGGGCAGUAGUGAGUAGUGCUGAGGUAGAAAACAUGAGAACAGGUAGGAAGGAGAUGUAAGGGACAAGACAAGAGUGGCCAGAUUUCAGGUCCACUUUCACAUGGAUUUAAAGUCCAGAUUUUAAAGUCACUUUCACAUACCUUGAUCACAAAUAGCACUAUUCAAUCAACUAUUAGACCUUAUCCUCAGGUACACCAAGGUAGUCCUGUGUUCACAAAGCAAAAUGCAUCAACAACAAGAAUAAAAUGACUUGGGGCCCACCCAGAUAAUGUCCAACAUAUCAAUAAAUGACACUCCUCCAUCCCAGUAACAUACCCAGUUAACAACACAAAAAAGAACUAAAAUGCCCUCUUUGUGCCCUUCAGUAGAUGAAUGGAUAAAGAAACUGUGGUAUGGUAUAUAUACACAAUGGAAUAUUACUUAGCAUUAAAAAAGAAUAAAUCAUGGAAUUUGCAGGUAAAUGGAUGAAGUUGGAGAAUUUUAUGCUAAGUGAAGUAAGCCAAUCCUAAAAUACCAAAUGCCAACUGUUUCCUCUGAUAUGAGACUGCUGAUCCAUAAUGGGGAUGGGGGCGCAUGGGAGGAAUGGAGGAAUUUUAGAAAGGGCAAAGAGGAG